rnacentral:rRNA from 1 species
UGGGGAAUUUUGGACAAUGGGGGCAACCCUGAUCCAGCAAUGCCGCGUGUGUGAAGAAGGCCUUCGGGUUGUAAAGCACUUUUGUCCGGAAAGAAAACGCCGUGGUUAAUACCCGUGGCGGAUGACGGUACCGGAAGAAUAAGCACCGGCUAACUACGUGCCAGCAGCCGCGGUAAUACGUAGGGUGCAAGCGUUAAUCGGAAUUACUGGGCGUAAAGCGUGCGCAGGCGGUCCGCUAAGACAGAUGUGAAAUCCCCGGGCUUAACCUGGGAACUGCAUUUGUGACUGGCGGGCUAGAGUAUGGCAGAGGGGGGUAGAAUUCCACGUGUAGCAGUGAAAUGCGUAGAGAUGUGGAGGAAUACCGAUGGCGAAGGCAGCCCCCUGGGCCAAUACUGACGCUCAUGCACGAAAGCGUGGGGGAGCAAACAGGAUUAGAUACCCUGGUAGUCCACGCCCUAAACGAUGUCAACUAGUUGUCGGGUCUUCAUUGACUUGGUACGUAGCUAACGCGUGAAGUUGACCGCCUGGGGAGUACGGUCGCAAGAUUAAAACUUAAAUGAAUUGACGGGGUC